GUGUAAAAGUCUUCUGAUGACUCGAAGAGCGGGUGAGGGCGGAGCUCGUUCGUCAACUUGACCGGUAGGAAACGGGUUAAAGAGGGGGAGAGCCUCGGAGUGAACGACACAACCGCGCGGUGCACGCCGCGCUUCAACCGCCCUUUCCGCACUCACCAACACAUCAAUGAGCAGGCGCGCUCACGCGCCUCCGUUACACACACCUGCUGGCGGGAACGGGAGCCAGGACCGCGUCUGUUCUCCUCCACCGGCGAACCGACGACCAGCAGAGGAGUUGACCACCGAGGAUAACCCUACGCUACAAUUCUUCCAUCUCCAUCAGUGGACUCAAACUGAGAGGGGAAAGCCAGCGAGUGCAAAUCACAGUCGGCCUUUCCCCUGCCCACCUAAAACGUGUGUCACUUCAGCUUUAACCUCCAAAGCGACACGAAGACCAGGUGAAAAACAAGGCAGAAAACCAGGCCAACGCUUCUGACCAGCAAACGAGGGGGAGGCGGUGCCACCACCUGUAUCCAGCCUCCGCUGCAGGAGCUUGGAGAGACUGCUCACAGUAUUGCGGAUAAGUGAAACCCCACAGGAGGUUUUUGUUCGUGGCUUCAACAAGUUCCUUAUUUUGGCGACGAGGGUGCCUGCGAUGUCCUUGGUGACUUGAUUUAGGCGAAGGCAGUUUAUGGCGCCCUGGACUACUUCUUGAUCUGGAGCGCACACCAUUGUCCAGGGUUGUUUCUUGCUGUGUGAACCAGAACGUGACCUGUGAUGCCCUAACCCCCGGCCGUCUUCUGCAUCGCUACACCCCCUACAGCACAGCCCGAGCAGAGGGGCCAUCGGCCGGACCGCCUGGCACACUGAUCUAGGGGCCAAACGGACACUCCGGUAGGUUC